UACGUAGGGUGCGAGCGUUGUCCGGAAUUAUUGGGCGUAAAGAGCUCGUAGGCGGCUUGUCGCGUCGGCUGUGAAAACUCGGGGCUCAACCCCGAGCCUGCAGUCGAUACGGGCAGGCUGGAGUCCGGCAGGGGAGACUGGAAUUCCUGGUGUAGCGGUGAAAUGCGCAGAUAUCAGGAGGAACACCGGUGGCGAAGGCGGGUCUCUGGACAGUUCCUGACGCUGAGGCACGAAGGCCAGGGGAGCAAACGGG
rnacentral:rRNA from 1 species